GUCUCUGGGAAAGACGUGGUUACCCUGAUCCAGAAGAAUAUGAAAUCCUGGUGUCUGCUCCUCUCCCUGCUGGCAGCUUCCCGCUGUGUCCUGUCUCAGGUGCAGCUGGUGGAGUCCGGACCAGGAGUGGUCAAACCCUCAGAGUCUCUCAGACUCACAUGUACCGUCUCUGGUGGCUUAGACACUAGCAGCUACUACUGGAGCUGGAUCCGUCAGCAGCCUGGGAAAGGGCUGGUGUGGAUGGGACAGUGGGAUGGUAGCGCAAACUACAACCCAGACUUCCAGAACCGAAUCACCACAGGCGAUAAGUCCAAGAAUGAAUACUAUCUGCAGAUGAACGACUUGACAGUCGCAGACACGGCCGUGUAUUACUGUGCAAGAAACACACAGUAUAGGGUAGCAAUUGUGAGUCAAGACAUAAACCUUCCCCUGCAGGGGAUCAGGAGGAGGCUGGGCAUCAUGGGGCACUCAAGACCCACCGAGCACAAGGAGCCCAGUUCCAGGAGCAGGCCUUUUAAGGCUGAACUAGAUCUUGCUCCAGCAGAGGAAUGUAACCCUGGAUCAGCUCUGAGGGUGGAACAGAUCAAAAGCCACAGUCCUCAAGAUGCGUAA